GGGUCGAUUCCCGAGUGGCUAAAGGGAGUGGAUUGUAAAUCCAUUGACUUUGUCUACGCUGGUUCGAAUCCAGCUCGGCCCA
rnacentral:tRNA from 1 species